AAAAAAAUUACAUUGGGGGAUUGGGGAGUAGGGCAUUAUGGGAUUUCCAUAAAAUCUACCGCCAAAAGAAACCCUAGACUCAUGUUUCAUUGUUACAUGAAUCAAUGAUUGAAUUUCACGUGCCCCCUUCGUUUUCGCUCUCGAUUAUCUCUCACCUUUCUUUUUGCUUCCCAUCAACCAAUCCUUCAUUGGGUUUCAAUCGCUUCUUUUGAAGCAUUUUAUAACCCCCUUCCCUUCCCUUUUUCGUUUUUCGUUUUUUAAUUUUAUUUCGACAUGUCUAAGAGGGUUCUCUGCAAGUUCUUUGCGCAUGGAGCAUGUCUCAAAGGCGAGCAUUGUGAGUUUUCACAUGAUUGGAAGGAUCCUUCGCAUAAUAUAUGCACCUACUACCAGAAAGGAGUGUGCUCAUAUGGUAGUCGAUGUAGAUAUGAACACGUCAAGCCUUCUCGGCCGGAGUCAUCUGCUUCAUCUUCGUCAACAAUUUCUCAUCCUUCAAGAGCUGCUUCCAGUGGGUUAACUAGAGUUCCAGGAGUUGUUCCAGAGCUUUCUGCUUUGAGUAGACCUUAUCAUCCUCCUGAUAAACUGGUGUGGAAUUUGAAUUCUGGAACUAGUGAUUCUUUAGAGAAUCAUGAUGUGGUGCAGCGAAGGAAUCUUAAACCACCCGAUCUUUCAAUCUGCUCUUUUGCUGCUGCUGGUGAUUGUCCCCGUGGGGAAAAAUGUCCUCAUGUUCAUGGAGAUAUGUGUCCAACUUGUGGGAAGCAUUGUUUGCAUCCUUUCAGACCUGAACAAAGAGAAGAGCAUUUGAAAACAUGUGAGAAAAAGCAAAAGCACCUUGAGGCUUUAAGGCGUAGCCAGGAAAUAGAAUGCAGUGUGUGCCUGGAUCGUGUAUUAUCAAAGUCAACACCCGCUGAACGAAAGUUUGGAUUGUUGUCUGAGUGUGAUCAUCCGUUCUGUAUAUCCUGUAUCAGGAAUUGGCGUAGUAGUUCCCCAACUUCUGGGAUGGAUGUCAAUACUGCGUUGCGGGCUUGUCCAAUUUGCCGUAAGCUAUCAUACUUUGUCAUUCCAAGUGUCAUUUGGUAUUACACACCAGAAGAAAAGCAGGAAAUUGUUGAUAGCUACAAGGCAAAACUCAGGUCAAUCGAUUGCAAACACUUCAACUUUGGUGAUGGGAAUUGCCCAUUUGGAACCAGUUGUUUCUACAAGCAUGCAUAUCGAGAUGGUCGUUUGGAGGAAGUUGUUCUCCGGCACCUUGGGGCUGAAGAUGGAAACACUGUGAUAGCUAAAGAUAGCAGGCUGUCAGACUUUCUUCGUAAUUUGCAUAUAAGGUGAAAAACACUGCUAGAGUCUUCCAGUGAUAUCAAAUAUGCCUAUAGAAGCUGCAACUUUGAUUUGGAAGUCCUCUUCUAUUGUUGGUUUCAUACCAUAGUUAUUUUUUAGGAUUGCUUGCUGAGGGUGUCCUUAAAUGAGGGAAGCUGGAGCAUGGUGGGUUGUAUAACAAACUGCAUGGUAUAAGAUCUGAAUUAAAUAAGAUUGAUACGAGUCAUAUGACAGGAGUGAUGAAUUUGAAAUAAGAUUAUACAUGUCAGUUCCUCAAUAUUUUUUAGCCCACUUGGCAUGGCAUCUGCCUCAAAACUGUAUGUAUUUUGCGACUGGGUUUUAUUUGGACGUUACCAGUAUUUCUUUUUUCACUAGAAAAAAAAAAGAUUUGUGAGCUACCCUGGUAACAUAUUUCUAUACCCUGCAUAAGGUAGAAUGUUGUAUUGUAGUUGUAUGCAAGGAAAGUUUGAAAUCUAAGCAGCUACAGCCGACCUAUGAAUUUAUAUUAUGGUAAGCAGCAUAUUCCCUA